CCCUUAGAUGUUCUGGGCCGCACGCGCGCUACACUGACGAUGGCAACGAGUUUUUCCUUCGCCGAAAGGUGUGGGUAAUCUUUUGAAACAUCGUCGUGCUGGGGAUAGAUCAUUGCAAUUUUUGAUCUUGAACGAGGAAUUCCUAGUAAGCGCGAGUCAUCAGCUCGCGUUGAUUACGUCCCUGCCCUUUGUACACACCGCCCGUCGCUACUACUGAUUGAAUGGUUUAGUGAGGACUCCUGAUUGGCGCCGCCGCCCCGGCAACGGAGCAGCGGACUGCCGAAAAGUUGUUCAAACCUGAUCAUUUAGAGGAAGUAAAAGUCGUAACA
rnacentral:rRNA from 1 species